AAGUCAGGGGAAACACUGAUGGAGGUCGGUAGCGAUUCCGACGUGCCAUUCGAUCGUCGGAACUGGGUAUAGAGGCGAAAGACUAAUCGAGCCAUCUAGUAGCUGGCUCUCUCCGAAGUUUCCCUCAGGAUAGCUGGCACUCGAUCGUUCCCGCACGGAACGCGAAAAAGUCUCAUCUGGUAAAGCGAAUGAUUAGAGGCCUUGGGGCCGAAACGACCUCAACCUAUUCUCAAACUAUAAAUGGGUGAGAUCUCUGGCUUUCUUGAAACUUGAAGCCACGAGCAUCUUAAUCUCGGAUUAGAGUGCCAAGUGGGCCAUUUUUGGUAAGCAGAACUGGCGCUUUGGGAUGAACCAAACGCAGAGUUAAG
rnacentral:ncRNA from 1 species